UAAAGCCGUGAAGAUUCCGGGCACUUACGAUCUUUGUGGGGAACUGCACUUCUGUCCUUGGCUGCUCUGUAGACGUAUAGGUGGAUGUAUCACUGAAAAUGGUGACGUUCCUCCUGUGUUUCGUCCAUAGAAAACCCAUCCAGUGUGAAGGAAGUUUGCACAAAUUCACUGCCAGUCGUUUUGUCGAAUAUGGAAUAUUUAUGGGACGCAGCCUGACAGGAACAUUUCACCGUUUCCAAUCAACAAAACAUCUGUCUUUAAAAUAAAAUGAUAUGGGAAAACUGCA